rnacentral:rRNA from 1 species
CAGUCGCCGCGGGAAUACGAAGGGGGCUAGCGUUGCUCGGAAUUACUGGGCGUAAAGGGAGCGUAGGCGGACAUUUAAGUCAGGGGUGAAAUCCCAGAGCUCAACUCUGGAACUGCCUUUGAUACUGGGUGUCUUGAGUGUGAUAGAGGUAUGUGGAACUCCGAGUGUAGAGGUGAAAUUCGUAGAUAUUCGGAAGAACACCAGUGGCGAAGGCGACAUACUGGAUCAUUACUGACGCUGAGGCUCGAAAGCGUGGGGAGCAAACAGGAUUAGAUACCCCCGUAGUCCCUGUCUCUUAUAU